rnacentral:rRNA from 1 species
GACGAACGCUGGCGGGCGUGCUUAACACAUGCAAGUCGAACGAAGAGCGACGGAAGCUUGCUUCUAUCCAAUCUUUAGUUGGCGAACGGGUGAGUAACGCGUAAUCAACCUGCCCUUCAGAGGGGGACAACAGUUGGAAACGACUGCUAAUACCGCAUACGAUCUAAUCUCGGCAUCGAGGAUGGAUGAAAGGUGGCCUCUACAUGUAAGCUAUCACUGAAGGAGGGGAUUGCGUCUGAUUAGCUAGUUGGAGGGGUAACGGCCCACCAAGGCGAUGAUCAGUAGCCGGUCUGAGAGGAUGAACGGCCACAUUGGGACUGAGACACGGCCCAGACUCCUACGGGAGGCAGCAGUGGGGAAUCUUCCGCAAUGGACGAAAGUCUGACGGAGCAACGCCGCGUGAGUGAUGACGGCCUUCGGGUUGUAAAGCUCUGUUAAUCGGGACGAAAGGCCUUCCUGCGAAUAUUGAGAAGGAUUG